UGGUUCUGGCAUCGAUGAAGAACGCAGCGAAAUGCGAUAAGUAAUGUGAAUUGCAGAAUUCAGUGAAUCAUCGAAUCUUUGAACGCACAUCGCGCCCUUUGGCAUUCCGAGGGGCAUGCCUGUUCGAGCGUCAUUACACCACUCAAGCCUGGCUUGGUAUUGGGCGAGGAGGUCCCCUCCCGCCCCAAUUUCGUCGGCUGGACCGUCCGUAUCUCAGCGUUGUGGUAUUAAAUUCGCUGGCGAGAGGGAUGGCCCGCGCCGUUAAACAUUUCUUAAGGUUGACCUCGGAUCAGGUAGGGAUACCCGCUGA
rnacentral:misc_RNA from 1 species